GGUGCUUCCAAAACGGAAGUCUUUAACUUCGCCUCCGCGUCCAAAGCUCCUCAAAAACUUUGCACAAACAGUCGGUCGCAACUGAAGAUUGGACAAACAUCGAAGAGGGCAAGAAAUAUAUGACAGCAUGGCAUCCAUUUCGACUGAGCAGAAUACACAGCCCACUCCUCAGCUUCUGUCAGUUGGAGAAAAGGAUAAGAAACGGCUUCUGGAGGUGUAUGUGAAGCGAAGUCUCAGCCUUAACGAUGGAUCACAAUGUCCUCUGAGACCGGAGCAAAGAACACACAAAUGGGUUGCCAUCACAGAGCCGAAGACAAGACAUCGCAAACAUUCCAGCGAUACAUCUCUGAACUUGACUUCUCAAGCCUCCAUCUCAGAUGAGGACAUUAGAUACGAGCCCCUCUCUGAACCACAACUGGAUAAAAAGGAGACGUCAUCUGAAAAGAAAUCCAAAAAGUGGAGAGUUAAAGGGAGCCUGCGCCGCAACGAUAGUUCUAAUGCAUCGCAAAAGUCCAAUAGCAAACCCAAGAAGUGGUUUCAACGUUUGGAUAAGGGCAAGGAGGAGGGUGGGCAAAGCACUGAUGCUUUACCUCCCCAAACAAGUACAGUUACUCCUGGAGAUAUGCAUUCAAAUGUGCUUGAAAAUCUGGAGACUUCUACAGUGGAAAGGAAGGACAAAGAAGGCAAGAAGACAAAGAAGCCCACUGUAUGGAAGAAUUUCUUGAGCUGGUUUUCCAAAGGAAACAGUGAAAAAGAACAAGAUCAUCAGAGAACCAAAGAACAGUUACCUCUUUCCCAACCCUCAACACCCCAAAUUUCUUGUUUGCCUUUAGCUGACACCCUAUCAAAAAGUGAAAUCAACCUGCGCCGUUCAAAGUCUUCAAAAAAGAAAUCGUUGCACAGGAGAUCAUUAAAAUGCAGGCAAAGUGGAGAUAUGUCCACUGAAAAAUCUGUUGAGAUAGUGGAACCCACUAACUCAUACUAUGAGAAAAUGUCAGAGGAACUGGAGAAAAUUGUGCAUGAAGUGAAAGACAGUCCAGCAGAUGACAAUGCCACUUACCAAAUAACAGACCAGAAUGGUGUAAAUGUCUCAAAAGAAGAGGUUAUAAAGAGAAUCAUAGAACUUAUAAAACAGGAAGGAGACUUAAUACAUAAAAAGCUGAAAAAGAACAGCACCGUGAGCGAUUAUCUGGAUGGAUUCACCUAUGGAUUCUUCCAGCAAAUGGCUGAUCAAUAUGUGCAGUCAGAAGUUCCCAAUGAGAAAACCCAGCUGCCUGUCGUGGCACCAGAGCUGGUGAAGUUCGCCUUCACUCUGGACUUCACAGCCAGAGUGGCAAAUCUGCACCGCCAAGCCACAGGCCAAAUCAUGGGCUUCGGGAACCAGUAUCUCCAAGAUCGCUUCACUCACAUGAGCGAGAGCCAUCCGCAUCUCUCUGACAUUAAAGCAGAGGAUCGGGAAAACACAGAACUCUGAGCAAGAAUUCAUAAGCUUGUAGAAGCGUGAGCUUCUAGCUGACAGUUUUACUGCUGGAUUUAUUUGAAAUGUAGCAACACAAAAGGAGAAAUAAUGAAGGCUUUUAAAAUAUGAAUUUUUUUUCUUUUUUCCAUUUUGCACAAUAGCACACACACCAGAAUGAACAGGGUUGGUAAUAUCAUAAUACAUUUAUGUGAAAUGUUAUGCAGUUUUACAUCAUAAAAACCUCGAAUGAAGUUAGAAAUCUAAAUGUGAAUUUAUUGUUGACAAAUUAUGAUGUAUUUGCACAACUGCAAUAAUUAUUUUAUUUACAUAAUGUAAUUUUUUAUCUCUAUAACUCAAAUUUAUAAGCUUUACUCACCA
ensembl:lncRNA uncharacterized LOC107554196